rnacentral:rRNA from 1 species
GCUUUGGCGGGCCGCGGUCCUCCGCGGCCGCCCCCCUCCCCGGGGGGUGGCCAGCGCCCGCCAGAGGACCAUCAAACUCCAGUCAGUAAACGAUGCAGUCUGAAAAACAUUUAAUAAACUAAAACUUUCAACAACGGAUCUCUUGGUUCUGGCAUCGAUGAAGAACGCAGCGAAAUGCGAUAAGUAAUGUGAAUUGCAGAAUUCAGUGAAUCAUCGAAUCUUUGAACGCACAUUGCGCCCUUUGGUAUUCCGAAGGGCAUGCCUGUUCGAGCGUCAUUACAACCCUCAAGCUCUGCUUGGUAUUGGGCACCGUCCUUUGCGGGCGCGCCUCAAAGACCUCGGCGGUGGCGUCUUGCCUCAAGCGUAGUAGAACAUACAUCUCGCUUCGGAGCGCAGGGCGUCGCCCGCCGGACGAGCGUCCGAAC